AAGAUUCUCACCAUAAGGUCCACCGGAGUGAAUAAGGUUGCAGUCGUAAUAGCGUUGAUUAGCGUAGUUCUGUGCAUAGGCAGCCACGGUCUUGUCCCAAAUCAUAGGGCCAACACCGACGGCUGCUCGAGCUGCAUUGUGAGCAUUGAGGUAGUCUUGUGGUGAGUCCCCUCCCAAGGCUAGGUAGUCUUGUUGUGAGUCUUGGGCUUGGGAGGGAAGGACUAGGUAGUCUUGUGGUGAGUUUUGGGCAUGGGAAGGAUGGACCAAGGCUAAGGCUAUGAGAGAAGUAAGAGCUACUAAAGUAAACUCCAUUUUGAAGUUUGAUUCUAUAAGAAUAUUGCAAUGAAGAAAAGUUGAAGUAUGAGAUGAAUUUUAUGUGUUUUGAGAGAGGUAUUUAUAGACGUUGCUGUUUUGGCACUUGAAUGUUCAAACUAGAUUAAGUGCAUAAAUUAACGCCACAAAAUUG
rnacentral:lncRNA from 1 species